AUUUGUGCACAAUUUAACCUCUUCAUUAAAUAAUUAUAAUCAUAAUUACUGUUAAGUCCCCCUUCGGUAUUAUUUUAAAAUAAUACGUUCGAUAGUAAUUCAAACUGUAACUCGCCAUUACUAUGGAAUCGUCUGCACCUUGAUCUGUCUUUUAAAUAAAGUAUUACGUUGGUAAAACUUCGAGUGUUACCUGACGACGACGGUAUACAAGAGUUUUCCAUAGUUAUUUUGCCUUGGUGGUUAUCAUUUAUAAGGUAAGUUCCCCUAAAUUAAAAUUACCGCCAUGUUGUUUAAGUUUUAACUCUUACAGUUGUAGUACUCUGCAAAAUACCGUGGGCAUUUGUAUAAAGGGGUAUCUAAUCCCUGUCUAUCACUAAUGUUUUUAAAAAAGACCACACAGAUAGAGCUACGAAUUGAUAUAUUUCACCACUCAUGUAAUAGUACUGAUGUGUUAUUUUGCUGUUUCAGUCUUUUACUAAAGUAUGACCGC
rnacentral:rRNA from 1 species